GAUGAAGAACGCAGCGAAAUGCGAUAAGUAAUGUGAAUUGCAGAAUUCAGUGAAUCAUCGAAUCUUUGAACGCACAUUGCGCCCCUUGGUAUUCCGAGGGGCAUGCCUGUUCGAGCGUCAUAUUAACCACUCCCGCUUGCGGGGUCUUGGGCUUCGCCUCCGGGCGGGCCUUAAAAUCAGUGGCGGUGCCGUCGGGCUCUACGCGUAGUAAAUUUUCUCGCGAUAGGGUCCCGGUCGCUGCUUGCCAACAACCCCCAACUGCUUAAGGUUGACCUCGGAUCAGGUAGGGAUACCCGCUGAACUUAAGCAUAUCAAUAAGCGGAGGA
rnacentral:misc_RNA from 1 species